rnacentral:lncRNA from 1 species
AUGCGGACGCACAUCAGAAUGCAUUUCGACAAACGUACCUCAGAUAUUGUUGAGGAAAAUUACAUAUCUUGCCAAAUCGAGUCCCCGAACCCCUCUCCAUCAUCAAAAGAGGUCCCUGAAUCUACAAGUAAACCCAGCCCUGAAGAUUCUUCGAGCUGUAAUGGCAACGCAACUGACAUCAUCAAAGUUAAGAAGACUGAGGAGGAAGAGUUCAUUGAUGUAGAUGACAUCACUAUUAAAUCUGAGCCGAUGGAUGAUAAUUCAAAUCAGAAUGCUGAGAUGAAUGCUGCCUCUCCGGAAGAUACCAACUCCCUCCCUGAGACUUUAAAUAACAACAAAAAAUUUGGAUCUAAUUAUUGUAAAUCUUGUGAUAUAUCCUUUAAUUAUGUGAAUAGCUUUUUGGUGCACAAGAAGUAUUAUUGUUCGAGCCAUCAAGCCAAUGAUGCUACCAAUGGUAACAACAAUGCGAAACCUCAUGCCCGGCCAACUAGUACUCAAGUGACGUAGAUGUAUCGGGAGAGCAUUAAAUUCUUGAAUUUUCCUGUCCAUAUAGAAGAUCCCCUAUUAUUCCAAAGAAAAUAGAAGUUUUAACUUUUAUUUUUUGCUUCUCUGUUGAUAUCUUUAAUUUUAUCCCUCAUUUCCCCUUUAUUUUUAAAUCACUUCAAAAUUUAGACUGAUAAUCAAAUAAAAGAUCUUUAGGGCUCAAAAAGUUUUGUGCGCACCUUUACAGAGAUCACAGAGGGACUAUUGAUAGACAUUGAGACCUCUGUAUUGACAAGCUUAUAUAAAAUAAAUGACCUUGUCGUUCAUUCUGAGAAGAUUGAUCUCUCUUUAGUAUGUGCCCAAUUUUUCAGUAGGUAUGUAAUUACUUAAUUUUUAAGACAACAAAAGUUAAAUUUUUUGGUACUUAUACCUCCCAGACAAUUAAUUUUAAGAAUGAAAAUCAGUUGAUAAAAAGAGCAGAAUAAUUGAAUCAUAAUAGACUUUGUAUUAAUUUUUUUUAAAUUAUUGACCCUUUUCAUUGAUAAAUUGCAGCUUUGUAUUUGAAGUAAGUACAUUUAUAUGUUUAGAUUUUCACUUCACUGCAAUCAAAAAACAUUUUUAGAAGUAUAUUUGGUUUCUGCGGUAGAAACUUAUGAAAUUUUACACUCUUUGUGAGUCAUUUUUUGAAGAUGCAUAAUAAUUUAGAUUAACAAGGCCUGAAUGUUAAUGUUGCUCUUUCCAGAAUCCUUAUCUGAAGAUAUUACUUUAUUUGGAUACACCAAAAGAAGCUUCUUAGGGGAGAUCUCUUAUAACUUUGAUAUACUAUUAGAGCUUCUUCCUUCUCCCUAUAAUUUUACAGACCCUCACAAUUAGUGGAAAUCAGAAAUAACAUUUUCUUAUCAAUUUUUACUAUUCUUUCACUUUCUCUCUAGUCGUUUUCAAUUUUUUGUCUGAAGGAAAAUGUUUUUGUAAGUGUAUAAUUUGUUAGAGGAACUCUAGAACAUUGGUUUAAAUUGCAGUUUUUGGCAGACUGCUUUGAGGUGCAGUAUAAAACUAAGCAAAUUCAUUUAAUCACACUUUCAGCACAUACCCCUCAGUAUUUUCAUCAUAAUUUUUAUUUUACAUUGUUGACUCUAAAGACAAGCCUACAGUAAUAAGUAUUGAAAUCUUACAGUUAUUGGUUUACUUUCGUCAUUAAGAGACUUUUUCUGAAAUUCUUACAGUUCUGUUGAAAUUAGAUGAAAAAUGCAUUGCAGAACCUUCAAAAUUGAGAUUUUUUGAUAAAUCUUUCAUACUUUCUCAGAAAAAUGUUGGUUUGAUACGUCUUGUAUAUGGAUUUGUUGGUUCGGCGCAUGUACCUAUUGUUAAAUUCCAGAAAAAACUUAUUUAUAGUAUCAUUUUCUAUUUACUAAUGUUUCUUUCCUAAGGAGGGAUUAUCUAUUUAAAUAUCACCACAAUGAUACCUAGGUAGAUAGAAAAUGAAGCACUGAGGAUGUUAAGCCAUAGAUGUCCUUCAAAGACUCAAUUUUGAUCUCAAAUUGCGUUUGCAUUUUUAAAAUUGUCUUAAAUUAUUCUAAAAUUGGCUGGAUUCAUCUACUUGUUAAGUUCAACAGAAAUAUAUAUACCUAAACUAUUCUAACAUCCCAUUCAUUUGGUAUUUACUGGACCUGAUUGAUGUUUAAAGAGUUUCUCUUCUAUUUUCUUGAUAAGUGGAAGUUCGGAUCAUAAUGUGUGCGUACCUAAAUAUGAUUGUAGAUCCCAUGGAUAUUUAGGCACCAUAAAAGUAUGUGUGUAUACCUCUAUGAAUGAUCAGCAAGGCAAUAUUUGUCGCUGAAGUAUUUUUAUUUUUUCAAAUUUUUUUGAGCCAAUGACUUUUUUUUUUUAAUUUUGGUGCUUGCAGCUAAAGCUGUAAAAAUAUUUUCUUGUUAGUUACUUUUUUGAACAUGCGAGUCCUCUUCCUGCUGCUUUGGUAACAAAGGCUAUCCAUAUGUAGUAUGUACAUGGGAUUAAACUCAUCUAAAGCGAGUACCUACCUAACUCCAGUUAAUGUAAUUUUGAUGAUUCAAAAAAAAAAAUGUACUCGAGUGCUCUGUUUCUUUACCAAUUAAUUCGUUUUUAGGAGGAACAUGACUUAUUUAUCACGGCAAUUUUCAUGAAAUUUGUUUUUAACUGCAAAGUUCAAGCCAUAAAUGACAGGUUAACUUCUUUGCUGAAAAAAGGAGGAAAAGAAAGAUCAAUCUUUAUACACGCUGUAACAUUUUCAUAAUUUGUAUGUCCUUUGUCAUGUUCUAAACUGCUGAAGUUACCCUUUUUCAUACUAAGGAAUAAGGAUGUGUAAAAAUAAAAAAUUUGAAUGUUUUAAAAUAAAAAAUUUGAAUGUUUUAAAAUAAAAAAUUUGAAUGUUUUAAAAUAAAAAAUUAAGGAUGAAAAAGUUAUUUACUAUUAUUUACUAUUCAACCAUAACUUAGUUGAAUAGUAAAAUUACAUUUUGGAAGGUAUCUCUUAAUACCAAUAGAAGAAACAAUUUAAUCGGCCCGAAACCUUGACAAAGAAACAACUUCAAUCGGGACUAAGGCCGCAAAUAAUAAGAAGGGCACAUAAAAUAAAAUAAAAAGCUCGGAAACCGGGUUUACCAGAAUACAGGGCUCUUUUUAUUUUAUUUUAUGUGUUCUUUUUAUUAUUUGCGGCUUUAGUCCCGAUUUAAGUUGUUUCCUUCUCUGAAUACCUUCUCUAUUUGUCAAGAAUAUGUAAUGAAUAGACAGGAGCUUUCCUCUGUUGGUUACCCUACCUUUAAUAUUACUAGGAGCUUGCCAAAUCAUUUAAAUUAGUAUUACUUCAAUGAAGUGGAUACAAACUACCAUUAAAUACAAUAUCAUUUGCUGACUGCAAACAUGCCUACUCAGGUGCAACAUAUAAAAAUCUCCAAUUAUGUUUCAUUUUCUUCAUGGAAAACUCAUCAAGAUAUUUCCUUGCGACUCUGUGUUAUUUUUUCAGAGUGUGUGAAUACAAUUCACCAAAAAAAAUCAUAGAAGCUAUGGGUUAGUCCUCUUUUAAAGGAAAAAAAAAACAUAAUCGGAUUCUUACAAUGACCCAAUUAUAAAACUACGCUUUUUGCAACUUCAGCCUUCGAAAUGUACCAUUGCAGCAUGAAGACUGGAUUGAAGGGAUCAUUUGGCAAUAUGCCAGGCAAUGAUAAAUUCUGUGAAAGACUAUAAUUCCAUUUUUAGGUAGUUUAAGUGAUCUAAAAUAAUUUCCAUGUUGUUUUAAAGUAAUUAUUUUUACUGAAAGUUUUAAGUUAUUUUAUUUUUGACUGCGAUACUUAUAAUUUAACCCAAAUGAAAUGAUCGUAGUAUUUAUGAUUUCAUAUGUUGCCUACAUAUUUAGUAUUGUCAUGUGCAAAAAUUCAAGUUUAAAUCUGUAAGUAAAGGUAUCUCAGAAGAAUUUGUUUCAAGAAUGAUGAGAAAAGAAAAAUUAGGUACCUAGUCAAAUGGUAGUUAAUUAAUAUACACUUUUUAACUUUUUAAGGACUUGUAAAAAGUAAAUUCUUCUGAAGAACCAAACGUCAUAAUGGGGUAGUAACUCAAUUUGCCCUUAGACUAAUCAUUGUUUUGUUUCUUUGAAAAAUAUUUUUGUUUAUUCCUGUAAUAUUUUCAUAUCUAUUUGGUUACUCUCUUCUCUUUCUGUUUUACCCAUCACAGUGUAACCACAUUUAGGAAGUAUUACCCUUUUGUAAAAAAGUUUUUUAUUGUUUGUACAGUUGAAAAUUUUGAUAGAUCUAAAGUCAAGUGGCAAUCAUAUGCACAUUCAUACUAGUAUCAAUAUUACAACAAGGCAAACUGCAAACUACGAACUGCUCUCAUAUUUUGAAAUAUCCUCCGAAAGCUAGACUACCUAGGUACACUAAACUAGGUAGAUUCGCAAAUAUGACCUGUGCAGUUUGAAAUUUUUGUAUGAUAUAAACAAUUUCUUCAAAGAGGAGGAUCGAUUUACUCUCAGUUGUAUGUCUCACAUUAUCUAUUAUCAUAACUUACUCUAACCCAGCAAAAUGUAACAUCUGUCUGGAAGACCACACCUACUCAUUCUUAUUCACUUAAAAUUUCACCAAAAUGAAACCUUUGUAAAAAUAAAAACUCAGUUUUCAUACAUUUAAAGAUAAUAUUUUGGAGGGAAACAUUUUUUCCAUAAUAUAAAUCAUCAUUUAAUGUGUUCUUUGUAGCCCCUUUAAAAUGUUCUAUGGAUAGGUACUGAAAGGUGGUAAAACUUGAAACUUACCUUUUAAGCAUCCGCCAUAAUUGUACAUAGAACCUACGUAGGUAGCUCCCCUAAAUGUAGGAAUUCGGUGUUAAAGACGUUCAUGUGUACUUUGUCUGUAAAAUCCUCUGUACGUGUUUCAAAUUUAAAUAUUUGUAAAUAAUCCACUUUACCUUUUGUUUUUUUUUUUUUUUUUAUUUUGUAUGAUUUUUAGUUGUUUAUAGCUUUCAAAGCUUAGGUUUCAUAUUUUGUAUCUUUAUUCGAGCUGGUCGUUAGAUUAAGUAAGAGAAAAAUUAACGAGGAAUAAAUCCUCCAAAAGAUUAUUACCGUUUGUCAUAGAAUAAUUUAUCUGUUUCAAUAAAAUUUACAUUGACUGGAAAGUAAAACAUAAUUUCUUGCUAUUC